UCUUUUAGCACUACAAAAUCUUUUGCAACUAAACAUAAACUUCUUGAUUAGGUUAGAAAUGGCAAUGGAUACUAAAUGAAAUAGAUUUCCGUAUUUGGUCUGUUCUUUUGUGAAUUCAGAUAGAAUAUUAAAUUUACUAUUUGCAGUGGGUUUGAAUAUCUAUUAUUUUAUUGCUUUAAUUUUUGUAUUUCGGAUAUUCAAAUAUGUUAUCUUCAUCUACUUCAUUUUGCAUAUAUCCAAAUUCAAUAUAUCUUCACAUAUCUAGCUAUUAUUUAAAUUUAUUUCUUUAGUCUUUUAAAAAAAAAAUUUAAGUGAAUUUCUGCAAACAAUCCUUCUCCCUUAUUUUGUAACACUAGAAUUCAUAGUGAAAUAUACCUGAAUUUUGUUACUAGAUGAUGGAUCAAAAUGAGAGCCUCCAGCUUGGCUAGCUCGUUGCCUGGACAAGCAUGAACACCGUUGCCAAACGGCAUGAAGGUAUUUGGUUUUGGAGCUACCUGCUUAAAUCCAUUUCCAGAAAAGCAAAAAUAGUAAGUUCCGAUUGUGCUGCUUGUAUGUGUACAUAUGUCUAUUUGUCAGUGUAGUAAAACUGGUAGAAAAUUGCUAUAAUCUUCAUAAGCAAAACAGUAACCACCUCAAAUCUAGAUGGAUCAAAAUCAUGAGGAUCAGAAAAGAAUUCUGGAUUAUGAUGAAUAUUCCUGAACAAUGGCAUCACUUUCCAACCCUUGGGUAUUAGGUAUCCUGUACAUUUAAAAGUUGAAACAACAGUAAUUAAUUAAAACCCCUUUAAACCAAAUAAAUAUAAAAGAAUAUUCCAGUUAAGCCUUUAAUUUAUUUACCCUUAUACUCCACAUCAACUACUGCUUCCCUGAAUGUGAAAGAUAUGAUGCUUGCCAUCCUCAAACCCUCUAGUAAAACCUGAAAUUUCCCAAAAGAUUAGAGGUUUCUUGAAAAUUUUCUUUUCUUGAAACAAACAUUUAUGACUUUGAAACACAGUCCAUACCCUAUAUGUAAGAGUCAUUUUCCUUGUCUGUGCCCAUGUUAGACGCUCCUUCCCUCCAUUGUUCGACUCAUAUAUCGCCUUUUGCUCUGCCUGCAAUGAUUUUGAGAACCAUGAAGUGAGAAAAAAAAAUUCAAUUCUCGGAUGAUAAAUUUGUUAAGUAGUCUUGAAGUGUCAUGCUAGAAUGAUUUACCUUAACUGCUUCUAGAAGCUUGGGGUCAUCAUGGAGGAAUUUGAGAAUCCAUGUUAUAAAACUGGCUGUAGUGUCCUGUGCAGCAAAAAGUAUCCCAAUGAUGUUAUCAGCAAUUUGAUCUUCAGUCAAAGUUUCCCCCUUUUCAUCUUUGAAGUUCAACAGAUGGCCCAAAAGAUCCUUUUCUACCAGCCUUUUCUCCUUUCUCUCACGAAUUAUUUCACUUAGAAUCUGAUUCAGCCUUUUCCUUGCCUUUGAAUAAGGGGAAAAAAACAAAAAAGUUAAUAAAUCAGACUUGCAUCCAUGUGAUCACAUACAUACAUACAUACAUACAUGAACAUACGUUUCUAUGAUAAGGAGAAAUGACAUGUUCUUACCUGGAGUGCUUUGUGAUGUGCACUCCCAGGAAUUUUUGUAGGAAAAGAGUUGUAACCUUUAUCCACUAUCCUGUAGUUCUCCUCCAAUUUCUCUUUGUAGCCUCCAUCUAAGUGACCAAAUAUGGAAAGAAUGCCGACGUCGAAAGAGAACUGUAGAGAGUCAAGGAAAUCCACAUGUUAGAAAAUCAUGAUCCAACACCUAAGUGGAAUUCACAUGACAUUGAAACAUGUCAAAAAGCCAGCUUCAAUAAAAAGAAAAACAAAAUUCUAAAGGGAUUCCAAUGUAGGAAAAGUGAAGAGUACUAUAGGACAACAAAACCAGACAAGUCCUCCAUUAAGUAAUUUAGGUAAGUCAAAGGAGAGAAAGAAAACCCUUUAAACACAUUAGAAACAUGUUUAAAGAUGUGGUCUAAUCAAAUCUUGUCUUUUAAACACAUACAUGUGCAUAUAUUUAUAUACCUUCUUCAUCUCAUAAAAGGUGUUUAUAACUUGUCCAGAGGCAGCCCAUGAGUCCAAGGCAGAAAGAGCUAUGUGUUCAAUAUCAGGAAUUAGCUUCCUGAUGGUAUCAGGUGCUAGUGAGUAUUGAACCAACUUCCUUAGCCGAGUGUGGUAUUCACCCUGGUGAAAGAAGAGCGCCCAAGGGCCA
rnacentral:lncRNA from 1 species